GGAGGCUUUGGGCAGCGAGGACUUCCUGUGGCUUUGCUGUAUCCACAGCAGGUUGGAGAUGGGAAAAAUAAACAGAAAAGGCGACUCCAGGAUUUCUUUCCAGGACUCACGUUAAAUGGCUCUCUGCAUUGUUUUAGCCCCAGCACACACCCUGCAAGCUUUGAUACAAAGGUUCCCAUGGCAACAGUAGCAGCAAGUCG